GUUUGGUUAUUUGGAGGGGUUCUGCUUCAUUGUAGUUAAUGGCAAAGCCAGAAUUGCAGUGCAGGUCUCCUGUUUUCUCAGCCUGCAACUACUCUUUUGCACUGUAUUAUUUUGCAAGAGGCCCUCCUUAGAAAAGCAUCUUCAGGAGCUUCAGAUUACUUAAUGACAACUGACUCGACAUGUGGCUUCUAGAGCUCUCUGUGUAAAAACUUCAAAAGAUAACAGGACUACUGAAUUGCUUAAGGUGCGUAUGCAUAUGGUUUUGGGAAAAGGAGAUUACUGCAGGAAAGG